rnacentral:rRNA from 1 species
GGUCCCUAUCUGCCGUGGGCGCUGGAGAACUGAGGGGGGCUGCUCCUAGUACGAGAGGACCGGAGUGGACGCAUCACUGGUGUUCGGGUUGUCAUGCCAAUGGCACUGCCCGGUAGCUAAAUGCGGAAGAGAUAAGUGCUGAAAGCAUCUAAGCACGAAACUUGCCCCGAGAUGAGUUCUCCCUGACUCCCUGAGAGUCCUGAAGGAACGUUGAAGACGACGACGUUGAUAGGCCGGGUGUGUAAGCGCAGCGAUGCGUUGAGCUAACCGGUACUAAUGAACCGUGAGGCUUAACCU